AUAAGAUUAAAAAAUAACAAUAAUGUUAAUGGGGUAAAACUCCUGAGGAUAACGCUUUGGCGAGACGCGUUCCAAUGCAAUCAACGAGUGAUAAAAGAGGAACGAAAGAUACCAGAGGGACAGUCAAACUCAUAAAUAAAAAAUAAACUGACAACGCCAUGGCUAAAAAUGAAAAAAGACAAACAGACAAACGAUAGUACACAUGAC
rnacentral:lncRNA from 1 species